rnacentral:tRNA from 1 species
AUCUAGAUAGUUUAACCAAAACGUUGAAUUGUGAUUUCAAUGAUGCCCAUAGGCUCUAGAUC